CCUUAUGUGGCGAGCGUUGUCCGGAAUUAUUGGGCGUAAAGCGCGCGCAGGCGGUUAUAUAAGUCUCAUUUACCCUUCCUGAGCUCCCCUCAGUGAUGGGUGAGAAACUGUAUGACUUGAGUGCAGGAGGGGUAGGCGGAAUUCCUAGUGUAGCGGUGAAAUGCGUAGAGAUUAGGAGGAACACCAGUGGCGAAGGCGGCCUACUGGACUGCAACUGACGCUGAGGCGCGAAAGCCAGGGGAGCAAACAG
rnacentral:rRNA from 1 species